GAGUCAUUAGCUCAGUUGGUAGAGCAUCUGACUUUUAAUCAGAGGGUCAGAGGUUCGAAUCCUCUAUGGCUCAC
rnacentral:tRNA from 1 species